UGGGGAAUAUUGCACAAUGGGCGCAAGCCUGAUGCAGCCAUGCCGCGUGUAUGAAGAAGGCCUUCGGGUUGUAAAGUACUUUCAGCAGUGAGGAAGGUGUUGAUGUUAAUAGCAUCAUCAUUUGACGUUAGCUGCAGAAGAAGCACCGGCUAACUCCGUGCCAGCAGCCGCGGUAAUACGGAGGGUGCGAGCGUUAAUCGGAAUUACUGGGCGUAAAGCGCAUGCAGGUGGUUUGUUAAGUCAGAUGUGAAAGCCCGGGGCUCAACCUCGGAACUGCAUUUGAAACUGGCAGACUAGAGUACUGUAGAGGGGGGUAGAAUUUCAGGUGUAGCGGUGAAAUGCGUAGAGAUCUGAAGGAAUACCGGUGGCGAAGGCGGCCCCCUGGACAGAUACUGACACUCAGAUGCGAAAGCGUGGGGAGCAAACAGGAUUAGAUACCCCCGUAGUCC
rnacentral:rRNA from 1 species